GGUUAAUGAGGAUGGCGAGGCCUGCGUGCGGCCUACGUGCGGCCUGUGGGGCUCAAAUGGGGCCUUGUGUGGGGCCUGGUAUCGAGACUGGGGGGGGGCCCUAUGGGGGGCUCAAUAUGGGGCCUACGUGGGGCCCUAUAUGGGGGCCUAUGGGGCUGUAUCUAGGCCUAUGUGGGGCCUAUGGGGCUCACAUGGGCCUAUGUGGGGCUUUGUAUGGGGUCAAUGUGUGGGGCCAUAUUUGGGUCCUAUGUGGGGCUCAAUAUGGGGGUCUAUGUGGGGCCCUAUGUGGGGCCUGUGUCCAGGCCUAUGUGGGGCCUAAAUGGGUCCUAUGUGGGGCCUUAUAUGGGGCUCAAUAUGGGGUCUAUGUGGAGCCCUAUAUGGGGCUGAUAUGGGGCCCUAUGUGGGGCCUUAUAUGGGGCCUGUGUCUAGGCCUAUAUGGGGCCAUAUGUGGGGCCUGUGGGGCUCAAAUGGAGCCAAUGUGUGGGGCCCUAUAUGGGGCACUUAUGGAGGCCUCCAUGGGGCAGAUGUGGGGCCCUAUAUAGUGCCUCUAUGGGGCAUAUAUUGGGCCCUAUAUGGGGGCCUCUAUGGGUCACAUGUGGGCCAUUUAUGCGACCCUACAUAGGGUCUUUCUGGGGCAUUUAUGGGGGCGCUAUACGGGGCCCCUGUAGCCCCACGAGGCGCCUGUAGGGGGCGCUCUCCACGAGGCACAAUGGAGUUCAAUGGCGAACGACCCCCAUUGAAAGCAACGGGGCGGUGUGGGGCUGAGCCCCAUCGCUCACUGCGGACCCCCCCGCCCAGAUCCGGGCCCCCCCGCGCUGGAACGGCGUCUGCGGGCGGUGGAAGCGGAGGUGGCGGUGCUGAAAGCGGCCCUGGGGGACGCGCUGCGGCGUAUCGGCCUCUGGGAGGGGCGGCUGCCCCACGGUGAGAACCCCCCCCACAAAGGGGGAAAAAGUGUUGGGGCUGGGGGGGCCAUGUGCCACGUGGUGGG
rnacentral:lncRNA from 1 species